rnacentral:ncRNA from 1 species
CGCCUCAGGUGCCCGGUUUCCGGGAGAAUAGGGAAGAGACAUAUGUCCACGGUCACGCCGCUGUGAGAGGGGAGCCCACCCCCGAUGUGCCGCCGGCAUCUGCCGGGAAGGCGGGGGAGCGGGUGGAGAGCCUUGAGUCAGAAGACCUGCCUGGGAGC